rnacentral:lncRNA from 1 species
CCCUUCUGCUUCACAGGGACCUGUAAUCUAUUCAUCAAUUCUGUGUUCCUAACUGGGACAAAGUAAUGCCAGCUACUUGGGAGGCUGAGGUAGGACGAUUAUGAGUUCAAGGCCAGCCUGGGCAACAUUACAAGACCCUGUCUCAAAAAAGUAAAAGAAAAAAUCUACAUCUCCCAUAUUUCCUCCUUUCCUGACUUAGAUUUGAUUCCUUUCUUGCUCCUCUCUCCCUUUAUUGUAAUCACCUGGCAAACUUCCAACCCCAGUCAAAUCCCACCUUUAUCUAUUUUUUCCUACAUCCUAUUUUGGCCAGAGAAAGACAUACAACCUUGGUGGCAUGUCCAACUUUGAAUUAAGACUACAAGCCUCAAGGAGCACCUUGUUGAUGAAGGAGCUAUCAAACUAUAGGGGUUCAACCUCUCCAUUGCCUUGAUGCACCCUUCAGUUGGCUUCCAGGAUGACCCUUUUCUGAUUUUGAUUUUUUUUCCAAUCUUUGCUGACAGCUGCUCACCUGUGUGUCCACCAUGCUCUGAACUUUGAGGUUGAACUAUUCCAGGGCUCAAGCCUCUGGACCCUGCCCUCCUCCAGCUACAGUCAUCUCUCGGUUCUAGAUCAUGGCUUUCAAAAUCAACUCUACACAAAAGUGCAUUGCCAGCCUUGACCUCUCUCCUGAAAGCCAGACCUGUAACACCUGAUGCCCAUUUCACACAAUGGCUAAGUACUGAACACACUGUAUGCUCAUAACCUGCUCCCAAUCAGACUCCUGGUUUCCUGUCUCCAGUAUUCUCCUGUCACCUUCUCCAUGUUAAUUAUGGCAACCUCAUUCUCCCACUUGCUCAGGUAA